GAAAGGGACAGGACGAAGAUAGGCCACACGGCCCCUCCUAAGGAAUGGGCAUGCACCCAACUCUUAGGUUUUGUACCCAUGGCUAGUCUUUUCCCAGGGAAAAUGGGAGAGAGUACAUUUCUAACAGCAGGAAGGACUGAGGCCAGACAACAGAAGAAAUUUCUGCCAGUGAAUAACAACUCGGAUAUUACAGAAAACCGAAGAUCUGGUGUUUUAAAGCAUUAAUCUGUUCAUUGUAAUCAAAUUAUCUGAUUUAUUAAAAAUGUAAAGGAUUAUUGCAGUAUUUUGAA